GACGAACGCUGGCGGCGUGCCUAAUACAUGCAAGUCGAGCGCGGGAAGCUUGCGGAAUCCUUCGGGAGGAAGUGAGUGGACCGAGCGGCGGACGGGUGAGUAACACGUGGGCAACCUGCCCGUAAGACGGGGAUAACCCCGGGAAACCGGGGCUAAUACCGGAUAGGUGACCUUUCUGCAUGGAGGGGUCAUGAAAGGCGGCGGAAGCCGUCGCUUACGGAGGGGCCCGCGGCGCAUUGGCUAGUUGGUGAGGGAAGGGCUCACCAAGGCGAUGAUGCGUAGCCGGCCUGAGAGGGUGAACGGCCACACUGGGACUGAGACACGGCCCAGACUCCUACGGGAGGCAGCAGUAGGGAAUCUUCCGCAAUGGACGGAAGUCUGACGGAGCAACGCCGCGUGAGUGAGGAAGGCCUUCGGGUCGUAAAGCUCUGUUGUUCGUGAAGAAGGGGUUGGCCAGGAAAUGGGCCGACAUUGACGGUAGCGAACCAGAAAGCCCCGGCUAACUACGUGCCAGCAGCCGCGGUAACACGUAGGGGGCAAGCGUUGUCCGGAAUGAUUGGGCGUAAAGGGCGCGCAGGCGGCCUCUUAAGUCUGAUGUGAAAGCCCACGGCUCAACCGUGGAGGGACAUUGGAAACUGGGGGGCUUGAGUGCAGGAGAGGGGAGUGGAAUUCCACGUGUAGCGGUGAAAUGCGUAGAGAUGUGGAGGAACACCAGUGGCGAAGGCGGCUCUCUGGCCUGUGACUGACGCUGAGGCGCGAAAGCGUGGGGAGCGAACAGGAUUAGAUACCCUGGUAGUCCACGCCGUA
rnacentral:rRNA from 1 species